rnacentral:rRNA from 1 species
UACGUAGGUGACAAGCGUUGUCCGGAUUUACUGGGCGUAAAGAGCGCGCAGGCGGUCGUUCAAGUCGAGUGUGAAAGCCCCCGGCUCAACUGGGGAGGGUCAUUCGAUACUGAUCGACUCGAAGGCAGGAGAGGGAAGUGGAAUUCCCGGUGUAGCGGUGGAAUGCGUAGAGAUCGGGAAGAAUACCAGUGGCGAAGGCGGUCGUGCUGGGUUGCAACUGACGCUGAGAAUGCGGAAAGUCGUGGGGGAGCAAACACGGGG